CCCGUCUUUCUCUUUCCUUAGGAGGAAGCUGCGGUUCUUUAGCAGACUGUUUGGGUGGAGGUGGUGAGGAUGGUGCUUUGGGUUUCUCUGCUACAGGAGCACUUUCCACUCUGGGCUUCUGCUUAUCUUCAGCAGGAGGAGAAGGUUUGGUAUCAGUUGUCUCUGGUAUCUUCUGAGAGGGGGUAACCUGAGAUGCAGUAUCCUCAGACUUUGAUAUAAUAGCGACCUUGGUUCCUGGUUCUACAGUAUCUCCUUCGUUGACUAGAAACUGCAUUAGAAGACAAAAUCAAACAGGUCUAGUCAGUGAAGACUAACUAUAGAGAGACACCAGAAAGAGAACAACAAUAACGACUGAAUAAACAACACAAAGAG
rnacentral:sRNA from 1 species